rnacentral:rRNA from 1 species
GUGGGGAAUCUUGCGCAAUGGGCGAAAGCCUGACGCAGCCAUGCCGCGUGAAUGAUGAAGGUCUUAGGAUUGUAAAAUUCUUUCACCGGGGACGAUAAUGACGGUACCCGGAGAAGAAGCCCCGGCUAACUUCGUGCCAGCAGCCGCGGUAAUACGAAGGGGGCUAGCGUUGCUCGGAAUUACUGGGCGUAAAGGGCGCGUAGGCGGACAGUUUAGUCAGAGGUGAAAGCCCAGGGCUCAACCUUGGAAUUGCAUUUGAUACUGGCUGUCUUGAGUACGGGAGAGGUGAGUGGAACUCCGAGUGUAGAGGUGAAAUUCGUAGAUAUUCGGAAGAACACCAGUGGCGAAGGCGACUCACUGGCCCAAUACUGACGCUGAGGCGCGAAAGCGUGGGGAGCAAACAGGAUUAGAAACCCCUGUAGUCC